rnacentral:rRNA from 1 species
AACGCGAAGAACCUUACCAAGGUUUGACAUGCAGGGAAAAGCCGUAGAGAUACGGUGUCCGUAAGGGUCCUGCACAGGUGGUGCAUGGCUGUCGUCAGCUCGUGUCGUGAGAUGUUGGGUUAAGUCCCGCAACGAGCGCAACCCUCGUCCUAUGUUGCCAGCGGAUAAUGCCGGGGACUCAUAGGAGACUGCCGGGGUCAACUCGGAGGAAGGUGGGGAUGACGUCAAGUCCUCAUGCCCCUUAUGUCUUGGGCUGCAAACAUGCUACAAUGGCCAGUACAAAGGGUUGCGAGACCGCAAGGUGGAGCGAAUCCCAAAAAGCUGGUCUCAGUUCGGAUUGGGGUCUGCAACUCGACCCCAUGAAGUCGGAGUCGCUAGUAAUCGCAGAUCAGCAACGCUGCGGUGAAUACGUUCCCGGGCCUUGUA